UACGGAAGGGGGCUAGCGUUGCUCGGAAUCACUGGGCGUAAAGCGCACGUAGGCGGAUUGCUAAGUCAGGGGUGAAAUCCUGGAGCUCAACUCCAGAACUGCCUUUGAUACUGGCGAACUCGAGGGAGGCAGAGGAAAGUGGAAUUCCCGGUGUAGUGGUGAUAUGCGUAGAUAUCGGGAGGAACACCUGUGGCGGAAGGCGGC
rnacentral:rRNA from 1 species